rnacentral:lncRNA from 1 species
CAAAAAAAAAAGAAAAAAAAAGAAAAAAGAGAGAGAAAGCAAUCAACUAGUAGAAUCCUCGUCUUUGGUUUGUGACUGGCCUUUGAGGGAGAGUAUUGUAUAUACGUUACUGAUAUAUCUCUCCCCUUUAGACCAUCCAUGGGCGUAUUCAGAGUCGACUUACUCGUCCUUGUGUUUUUAUGAAGAGUUAGUUUGCUACGGAGAGUUGAUCCGAAAUGCCUCGAGAGUUUAUAGAAACAGGUGUAAUAGAGAGAAAGAAGCCAAUGAAUGGGCUUUCUAGCUGUGAAAGUUUUCGGUUGUGUUUGUAUGUGUACUCAUGGCUAUAAUGAAGUCUCUCCCUGUACAUGAGAGAAUGCUUGCUUGCUGGCUUUGCACAAUUCUUCCUUGGUUUAUUAUAUACAAGUGAUAUUGGAGUAAUGAAGGAAUUUACAAGGCUGUGUGGUGCGCAUACAUAAUUAAAACCUUUGAUAUGCGGAUCAUUAUUCUUAAGAUCAAAAAUUGGUUAGAAGCUUUCUCAUUGUUUUGUGUUUUUGGCUAAUGAAUGUAGAAGCGGUCAACGUAUUCUGAGUUUUAGGUAAAAAGGAGGAGAGAAUGGUUUGGUAAUUUGUGCAUUUGUAUUGAGGAUCAUAACAAAUUUCAUAAUCUCUCAAUUACAAUAUUAAUAAACUCGUAUCACAUACAUCCAAAAGGCCUCACAGUAAAGAGGUCAAAAAUAAUAGAAGCCCUACUUGAAUCCCAAACUACUUGCACGUUGAUCUCAUUCAGGUCAUUUUUAAGAAAUUAACAAUUCAGAUGAAAUUAA